rnacentral:rRNA from 1 species
UGGGGAAUAUUGCACAAUGGGGGAAACCCUGAUGCAGCGACGCCGCGUGAAGGAAGAAGUAUUUCGGUAUGUAAACUUCUAUCAGCAGGGAAGAAAAUGACGGUACCUGACUAAGAAGCCCCGGCUAACUACGUGCCAGCAGCCGCGGUAAUACGUAGGGGGCAAGCGUUAUCCGGAUUUACUGGGUGUAAAGGGAGCGUAGGCGGCGAUGCAAGUCAGAAGUGAAAGCCCGGGGCUCAACUCCGGGACUGCUUUUGAAACUGUAUGGCUAGAUUGCAGGAGAGGCAAGUGGAAUUCCUAGUGUAGCGGUGAAAUGCGUAGAUAUUAGGAGGAACACCAGUGGCGAAGGCGGCUUGCUGGACUGUAAAUGACGCUGAGGCUCGAAAGCGUGGGGAGCAAACAGG